rnacentral:rRNA from 1 species
UACAGAGGGGGCAAGCGUUGCUCGGAAUCAUUGGGCGUAAAGCGCACGUAGGCGGCCUCGCAAGUUGGAUGUGAAAUCCCUCGGCUCAACCGAGGACGUGCAUCCAAAACUGCUUGGCUUGAGUACUGAAGAGGAUCGCGGAAUUCCCGGUGUAGAGGUGAAAUUCGUAGAUAUCGGGAGGAACACCAGUGGCGAAGGCGGCGAUCUGGGCAGAUACUGACGCUGAGGUGCGAAAGCGUGGGGAGCGAACAGG